GACUGGACAGUGGAUUGAGUCAACACUUUUGAUAGCGAUGUUGUUAGCUCUUGUUAAUAAAUAAUUCUGGGAUUUAUUCAUUUUCUUUUCAAUUUUCAAAUUUUUCAUUCAAUAAAAAAAUAAAAAUAAAAUCGAAAGAGGAGAAGUUGAAUUACAUAAUCUGCGAAUCGUAACGAACACGUUUGUCUACUAUUCAUUCGCGAAUCUGCUCGACCGUCUUAGUUCUUAUCAGUUUUCUUUUGGACGUUUGUAGAUAAGCGAUAACAGUAACAAAAUAGAUUUAGAUUUAGAAUUACUGAAUUAGAAUACUUGACUCAUGUUCAGUCAAAAAAUUGAGUAAUGUUAUCGGAAUUCAUCAGAUGUAAUGAGUAACAUCGAGUUUUGCGGGUGCGUAGUUUCAAUGAUGUUUUUGGUUUUGAUUUCGAUGGCGAAUCGUGUUUUCUUUUAUUUGUGUUUCUGUGUUCCUCUGGAUUCUAUCAUUCGAACAGUUUAAUUUCAAUUUUAAUCUUCAAAUGAUUCGAUUAAUUGCACAAGACAGUAUAAUGCUUGAAUAUUGAUGAUUGAUGAGUGAACUAACUGACGAAGUCCGGUUAUCUACAUUGCAAUGGUACAUAAAAUGGUCUUUCAUCAGUUCAUCGGCUUUAGCAAAACGAAGAACUGCUCGUCAAUACUCAAUGGCCAUGUGUAUUAUUUAUUGGAAGACAUGGGGCCUACAGUCAAUUUCAGAUGAGCUGUUCUGCUUUUAUUUUUUGAUUUUCAAAAAUGCUACGUGAUGUUUGCCUGUUCCUUCGCUAUACUAGGAGGAAGGACACUGGCCACGCUGACUUCGCCACUAAUGGGAUGAAUGGUGAAAUGAGGAGUCGUGUAUGCUUUGGACACGGUU